UACAGAGGGGGCAAGCGUUGUUCGGAAUUACUGGGCGUAAAGGGCGCGUAGGCGGCCUGUUAAGUCGAACGUGAAAUCCCUGGGCUCAACCCAGGAACUGCGUCCGAUACUGGCAGGCUUGAAUCCGGGAGAGGGAUGUGGAAUUCCAGGUGUAGCGGUGAAAUGCGUAGAUAUCUGGAGGAACAUCGGUGGCGAAGGCGGCAUCCUGGACCGGUAUUGACGCUGAGGCGCGAAAGCCAGGGGAGCAAACGGG
rnacentral:rRNA from 1 species